GCCAAACUCUCUGUUGAUGUUUCAUGAGCUGACUAAGGACCAAACUGUGGAUCUAGCAGGCUUACGGUUUGAUAUCUUCUUCCACCAAUGCGGAAGAAUGCCUUUUGCUUCAUCUGCCUUGCAUUGUUCAAUGGGCAAGAUCAGCUGCUGUGUUCCUGCCUUCUAUCUACAACUAACUGUCUUUCUCCAGAGAGUGCAGGCAGCUAGCAUCCAAUAACAACUCUGAGACCUGGGGGCUAUUCUUCCUUUUGGAGGAGCGGGGUGUACUGCGGAAGGUUCCCUGAAACACUGGAGCCUGUUUUAUUGCACCAAGAACUCCUUUAAGACUCUAGUGUUACGACCAAAUGGAUCUAUCUGAGAUCUUUAAAAAAUGGUAUCUUAGAUGACUAACGAUAAUAGGGAAAAUUCCUGUGUUGGUCACAGUGGCCAAGAUUUGGCUUUUCGCAAUCAUUUCAUUUUUUCCUCUUCCCUGAGGAAUUUCCCUUCACUGCACGAAGUACUUUAUUUCUCUACGGCAACCUUCAGGGUUCGGAUGAAGAAUGACCAGUCAGUCACAACUGUGCCCCAUGCUGCCACGUCUUGCAGUGAUCUUGCAUGAACUUCAGCGAUUGCUUUCCUUCUGUUUCCUGCAUGGAAAAAAGUACUGCUGUCUUAUCUAACAAAAUUUUCGACAAUGCUGGGUGAACUGGGCCAGAAUCUCAGAAGAACCUACCAGGAUCUACUAUAAAUGAUAAAGCAAUAAAGGAAAAGGUUAGCAAACCUCUCA
rnacentral:lncRNA from 1 species